AGCCGAGACCAAGGUGCCUGGUUUGUUCUGGUGUUGGGUGCCGACCGUGACAGUAUAAUAGACAAAGGUGCAAGUCUUUGGUGGCCACUUCCACCUGUUCCGUAGACACGAUCAUCAAGCAGACAGCACCACACGGUCCUCCACUUGGGAGCGCUGUUCCUUUAAUAGAGGAUACCCUCUCUCUUGGAAUUUGAUAGUCUUUUGACUACUGGGAAAUGUUGUGAUGAUGAAACAUGUUAAGCACUGAGAGAAACAGAUCGACCGGAAGAGAGACGGACUGACGGAUGGACAGAAGGAUAAAUAGAGAGAUGAAAGUGCAGGAGAUCAAAGAGAAAGUCUACACAUUUCAGUAAG